UGCCUACGGGGGGCAGCAGUCGGGAAUAUUGCGCAAUGGAGGAAACUCUGACGCAGUGACGCCGCGUAUAGGAAGAAGGUUUUCGGAUUGUAAACUAUUGUCGUGAGGGAAGAAAUUGACAGUACCUCAGGAGGAAGCUCCGGCUAACUAUGUGCCAGCAGCCGCGGUAAUACAUAGGGAGCAAGCGUUAUCCGGAUUUACUGGGUGUAAAGGGGGCGCAGACGGCGAUGCAAGCCAGGAGUGAAAGCCCGGGGCCCAACCCCGGGACUGCUCUUGGAACUGCGUGGCUGGAGUGCAGGAGGGGC
rnacentral:rRNA from 1 species